rnacentral:rRNA from 1 species
GAUGAACGCUGGCGGCGUGCCUAAUACAUGCCAGUCGAGCGAACGGACGAGAAGCUUGCUUCUCUGAUGUUAGCGGCGGACGGGUGAGUAACACGUGGAUAACCUACCUAUAAGACUGGGAUAACUUCGGGAAACCGGAGCUAAUACCGGAUAAUAUUUUGAACCGCAUGGUUCAAAAGUGAAAGACGGUCUUGCUGUCACUUAUAGAUGGAUCCGCGCUGCAUUAGCUAGUUGGUAAGGUAACGGCUUACCAAGGCAACGAUGCAUAGCCGACCUGAGAGGGUGAUCGGCCACACUGGAACUGAGACACGGUCCAGACUCCUACGGGAGGCAGCAGCAGGGAAUCUUCCGCAAUGGGCGAAAGCCUGACGGAGCAACGCCGCGUGAGUGAUGAAGGUCUUCGGAUCGUAAAACUCUGUUAUUAGGGAAGAACAUAUGUGUAAGUAACUGUGCACAUCUUGACGGUACCUAAUCAGAAAGCCACGGCUAACUACGUG